UUCAUGAAAGGUUUAUGGAAGAGGUACUAGCUGUAAGACCUUAAGACUGCAUUCUGAAGAAUUUGUUCACCACUAAACAAAUGGUCCAGAAAGUGGAUAAACCUCCAAGGGCCAGCACUUCAGUAGCUGAAAGCAGUCUGUGCAUUCAUUUGAAAUGAAGGAUGGGAAGUUCUCUGAAAAGAACAAGUAAAAUUGGCCUCAAGAAUAAACAAGUUACUUAAGAGAAGCAUGACUGAUGAGUCACUCUGAAUGUUGCUGAACAAUUCACAGGCUGUUAUAGCUACAGGACCCUGUGUCCCAAACUCAACUAUUGGACUUUGAGAAUCACCGCCCAUCCUGCCUUGCCUUCAGAUGACCCUCAUACUAGAAGAUGAUAGUUGCAUCAGAGAGACUGUUGACUCUCCAUGUCUUAAGACAUUCCUCUGAAGCCUACUCACCCUCACUCCUCUGAAGUGGCCUGUUCUCUACAAUUACCUUAUCAUCUCCAUGCUUCAACCUAUUUUCAUAAUUUUUCCAGAACCCUAAUCUCAGUCAGAUG